UGUGCUGCUUGGGCCAGUUCAGCCUACUC
rnacentral:piRNA from 1 species